AACGCCAUGUGGUAGAUGUGAUUAUUAUCCCCAAUUUAUAGAUGAGGACACUGAGGCACGAGGAGAUGAAGUAACUUGACCCAGAUCGCACAACCGGCAGGCGUAGCCAGGAUCCCAACCCAAGGCCGAGAGUUUUCUCAGCUGGCUCACAGCGGCUUGGAGAGGGGGAGAGCUUCGGAGGAAAUGAACGUGCAUCUAUUUGCCACCGUCCACUCGGGAGCAGCCGGCGUAUCAACGAGGGAGGAGACAAGGACAGCCGUUCUGCUUCCGGGACCUACGGGGAGGCCUUGCUUACGGGUGACAGGUUCUGCGGACGGCCUCGCUGGGGCAGGGAAGCCCACCCGGAGCCCCAGAUCCCCAGGGGAGCCCCGGGGACCCCCAGUACAGACGCUCCUCUCCUCUGCUCAACUCUGCUCCUCCUUGGGCUGGCAGGACGGAAGCA
rnacentral:lncRNA from 1 species